rnacentral:lncRNA from 1 species
UUUCUUUCUUAGUUAGUUUAACCUUUUAUAUUUUAAGUACGUUUUUUUGGUUUUUCGUGUAAGAGAUGUUAACUGAAAUUUUGAUCUCGCUUCCGCAUUCGAUAUAGAAGAUGCAUUUACAAUAAAUGGAAAAGCUACAGAAAAUGCUAUCACUGAAUUGUUUAUCAAUCCAUUGGCCAUAUGAAGUUUGGAUAUAUAGUCGUGACAUUUACUUCUGCUAGCUGAACUUUUCUAUGUUAUUAUGCUCCUCUCUAUGUUAACAUAAUCUGUAAUAAAUUCUCAUAUAGAGGGCUAUUGAAAAUAGUAGUGUGAAACUUAGAGUUGAUUUGAAUAAGUUUGUUAAUUUGGAACGUCUUUAUAUCAGUUUAAUGUAAUAAAGAAUGCUAGCAUAUGUUUUCUUUUUUCUAAGAAAUAGAAAAUUUCUUAUUAAGAAAAAAUAGAUAUAAUUCAUUAAGAAGAAUUAGUGACCUUUCUGUUGAAUCUGUACUGGGUUGUGAUGAGAAUUUGGAUUAUGUUAUUGCAUAUGUUGAUAAGGUGUCAGCCCACGUUGAGAGGAUCUGCCAAUGAAAAGUUGGGUAGUGUAGAUUAGAUUAGAAUAUCUUUUUCUCUGUUGUUGAAACUACAAGUACUCCACCUACUAUUUUUCUAAAUACCAGAGGAGCUGGAGGAAUUCUCAGGCAAUAUUUAAUGCACCAGCUUCAUCAACUCUUUACUAUCAUAAACAGUUUAAAGUUAAGGCCGGAAAAUUUUAAUUUUAAUCAGGUCCAAACUAUUGGAAUUUUUUCUAGGAUGAAAGAAAGCUAAAUUUUUAUUGACUUUACUUUUUUCUCCGAAAAUUAAUAACUUAAAG